UGCUCAUGUGGCGGAAUUGGCAGACGCGUACGGUUCAGGACCGUAUGGGAAAACCCUUGGAGGUUCGAGUCCUCUCAUGAGCAG
rnacentral:tRNA from 1 species